rnacentral:lncRNA from 13 species
UGGUGGCAAAGAAGAGGCAGGGGAAGAGAGAGAAUAGAAAAAAGAAGAGCAAGAGAACGCAUGGGCAGUUACAAAAGAUACAAAAACGUGCUCUACAGGUAGGAAGUUAUUUAAUACUUUUAACCAGUUUAUAAGAAUGCUGGAAGAAUGAAAUUGACACAUGACAGCCCAAAGACAAAAAGCAGAAAGAAGCCACUUCAUGUGUAGAAGCAUGUCCUAGAAGACAACUGCUAAAGAGAAGGGAGCAGUAGAAGGAAAAAAAAAGGAGGAAA